AGUGAUGGUAACAGUGAGACUGAUACACAGCCCUAGAGGACCAUGUUCGCCGAAUCAUCGCAUGAACAUGGGUUGGGAGCUACACUAGAGUUGGCUCCUAGGUUUGGUCUGAAGAGGUUGGUUUACCUGUGCUUGAUGCUCCAGAUUCUCCACCUGCCCUGUCCACUGCUCCUCCAACGGACAAAACAUCAACCACGUCUACCUUUCGUUUUCCGUUGUGCUCAUCUACCCAUUUCAUUAAUUAAAGACUGGCAAAAAAAUUAGCUGGGUUUGGUUUCUGCCUCGUGGUAUCUUUCUAUAUGAUGUAUCUAUAGUUCUUUGUUGCUACAUGCUGCCUUACUAAUAAACAAUAGUUACAGCA